rnacentral:rRNA from 1 species
GUGCCAGCCGCCGCGGUAAUUCCAGCUCCAAUAGCAUAUAUUAAAGUUGUUGCGGUUAAAACGCCCGUAGUUGGAUCAGCGGAUUUGGAGAACGGUCUGCCGAUGGGCUGUACUGUUCUCCUGUCCUAUUUUCUCUAGUUCGCUCUAGGUGCUCUUCACUGAGUGUCUAGAGUGGCUGGAACUUUUACUUUGAAAAAAUUAGAGUGCUCAAAGCAGGCGUCUCAGCCUGAAUAGUGGUGCAUGGAAUAAUGGAAUAGGACCUCAGUUCUAUUUUGUUGGUUUUCGGAGCAUGAGGUAAUGAUUAAGAGGGACAGACGGGGGCAUUCGUAUUGCGACGUUAGAGGUGAGAUUCUUGGAUCGUCGCAAGACGAACUACUGCGAAAGCAUUUGCCAAGAAUGUUUUCAUUAAUCAAGGACGAUAGUUAGAGGUUCGAAGGCGAUCAGAUACCGCCCUAGUUCUAACCGUAAACGAUGUCAACCAGCGAUCCGCAGGAGUUAUUCAUGACUCUGCGGGCAGCUUCCGGGAAACCAAAGUUUUUGGAUUCCGGGGGGAGUAUGGUUGCAAAGCUGAAACUUAAAGGAAUUGACGG